CUCCUUCCUCGCCUCUCCCGGCCUCUCUGGCUGUCCCCGGCUCUCUUCCUCACUGCCUCUCUCUUUUUCUCUUACCCCUCUCUCCUCGGCUGCUCUCACCACUUCCUCCCUCCCUCUCCGGCUUCCUUCUACCUCCCCUCACUCUCCCCCCUUUCUCGCCUUGCUCAGGGGGACUCGCUAUCUCUUUCUCUGUCUCUCCUUGGAACAGCGGCCCCCAAAAUGCAACUGAAGCCAUUUCCCUGCUCUGAGACCUCGGACAAGUCACUCCCCGCCAGGGCUGCAGUUUCCUGUCUCUAAAAGGAGUUGAUGAGCAGCUCUAGCUUCAGGGAUGUUUCCCGGACCGAGUGUGGCUUCAGAGUCAGAGAGAUGUGAGUUCAAGACCACUUGCUUAGGUGGCUUUUGUGGACAAGAUGCGACCACCUCAUGAGGAUCAAGAUGUACUCCUUGCUCUUCUCUGCACAGCAGUCUCAAAACUAGGCUACACCGUCUGUCUCCUCUGGUCACCAUUUUGAGAGGCAGCAAGGGUCUUCCUAACCCUCAGCUCCCUCUGAUUUUUGGAAUUCAGAUUUGGAUUUUGGAUGUACAUCAAGAGGCUGGCUCCACGCAUUUUAAUUAAGUUGUCUUUUUUCAUUUAUUACUAAUACACUCCUCUUAACUAUGAUUUAUUGGUUAAACAAAGCACCAUAAGCCGUCACUUAUUCAUCUUAAUUUCAACAAAAUUAAAGUAGUCGCUGUUAGAUUGCACCUAAUUGCACUUGCAAUGAAAAGAACGGAGAUGUUAAUCAAAAUAAAUUGAAGAUAAACAAUAAAAUCAUUACAUCUUUGCGGU
rnacentral:lncRNA from 1 species